CACGCCCGGCUAAUUUUUUGUAUUUUUUAGUAGAGACGGGGUUUCACCGUGGUCUCGAUCUCCUGACCUCGUGAUCCGCCUGCCUCGGCCUCCCAAAGUGUUUGGGAUUACAAGCGUGAGCCACCGCGCCCAGCUGAAUAGUUGUUAUACUGUAUUGUUUAGGGAAUAAUGACAACAACAAAAAGUCUGUACACGUUCAACCAUCCCUUUUUUUUUUUUUUUUUGUGAAACAGGGUCUCACUGUGUCACCCUUGCUUGAAUGCAGUGGCACAAUCAUGGCUCACUGUAGCCUUGAUCUCCUGGACUCAAGCGAUUCUCCCACCUCAUCCCCUCGAGUAGCUAGGACUACAGGUGCACAUCACCAUGCCCAGCUAACUGUUUUUAAGUUUUUUUCAUAGAGAUGGAGGUCUCACCAUGUUGCCCAGGCUCAUCCUGACCUCCUGGGCUCAAGAGAUCCUCCCACCUCAGCCUCCCAAAGUGCUGGGAUUACAGUCAUGAACCACCAUGCCUGGCCCUUUCUUUGUUUUGUUUUUUUCUUAACCUCUAUUAAAACACUUCAAUGAAUUUUUUUUUUUUUUUUUUGAGACUGAGUUUCGCUCUUGUUGCCCAGGCUGGAGUGCAGUGUUAUGAUCUCAGCUCACUGCACCCUUCGCCUCCUGGGUUCAAGUGAUUCUCCUGCCUCAGCCUCCCGAGUAGCUGUAAUUACAGGUAUCCGCCACCACACCUGGCUAAUUUUGUAUUUUUAGUAGAGACAGGGUUUCACCAUGUUGGUCAGGCUGGUCUCAAACUCCUGACCUCAGCUGAUCCACCCACCUUGGCCUCCCAAAGUGUUGGGAUUACAGGCGUGAACCACCAUGCCCGGCCUAAAUGAAUAUAUUUUUGAUGUGAGGUUGGUUGAAUCCACAGAUGCAGAAACCAUGGAUACAGAGGACCGACUACACCUAACUCCAUCAAGGUCUCUGGACAGCCUUUCUGCCAUUACUAGCCAUUAGCUCUUGGGCAAGUGACUUCACCUCUCUGAGUUUUCUCAGAUUUAACAAGUGGGGUAAUACCUACCCUCAGCUGGCGUGAAGGUUAAAUGAUACGCUUUAGUUACAGUGGGGUACGCAGCAGGUGCUCCAAAAAUGCUAGUUCCUUUCUCAGUCCCUUUUUUAUUCUGAGGCCCUGAGGAAACAUCAGGAACUCGAGAAAACAACCUCUUUCAAAGCACAGAAGGCUGAAGCGCAUUAUCAAUCUUUUGUGAGUAUUUUGAUUUACAUCCUGUGUGUUGAGAUUUCUAUUUCUUAACUUUUAUUUGAUCUGAAUUUGAUUUCAGUUUCUUGCUGACCCCUCCAGGUAUGUUCACAGCUCCAAGGACAGCUGCAGAAGUGCACUAGGCUGGCUGGGUUUCUGGGAGCCAACGCAUGCAACUGGGAAAAGGUGCUAAAUAAAUCCUCAGUGACUGAGCCCGGAGCCAAACACAUUUAUCUUUGUCAUCCAUCCAAUUCUGUGCAGCUGGGAUGGAGCCCAAGGCGCUGAGGACGACAUAAAUCUGCUCUUUGGGCCCCACCCAUUUCUUCUCCAAGCAGAUGUGGUAGCCGGGAGCCAAGGCUUGGGGGCUCAGCGCUGCGCUGAGAAGAGGACGAGCUCCAGGCCGGUCAUCAUCAGACUGGGAGGAGAGAGCAAAUAUUACCUGAAAUGAGGCCGCUUGGUGGAAGACACUGGAGAAACACAGCUGGAAAGAUGGAAGCUCUGCGGUUCAGAAACACUGGAGUUUCACAUUUGACCUCUGGCUUUCAUGUGAGAUGAAGAGACAGAACACUUUUCUGAAGUUAUUUUCUCUUUACAU